CAAUAGCGUAUAUUAAAGUUGUUGCAGUUAAAAAGCUCGUAGUUGGGUUUGUGGCGUACGGUGUGUUCCGGGCACUUGUUGUCUGAGUAACCUGCUGUUGCCAUCCUUGGGUGGAACCUGUGUGGCAUUAGGUUGUCGUGCAGGGGAUGCCCAUCAUUUACUGUGAAAAAAUUAGAGUGUUCAAAGCAGGCUUAUGCCGUUGAAUAUAUUAGCAUGGAAUAAUGAGAUAGGACUUUUUUGCUAUUUUGUUGGUUUGCGCAAAGAGGUAAUGAUUAAUAGGGACAGUUGGGGGUAUUCGUAUUCCAUUGUCAGAGGUGAAAUUCUUGGAUUUUUGGAAGACGAACUACUGCGAAAGCAUUUACCAAGGAUGUUUUCAUUGA
rnacentral:rRNA from 1 species